CCUACGGGUGGCAGCAGUAAGGGAUAUUGGUCAAUGGGGGAAACCCUGCACCAGCAACGCCGCGUGAGGGAAGACGGUUUUCGGAUUGUAAACCUCUGUCCUCUGUGAAGAUGAUGACGGUAGCAGAGGAGGAAGCUCCGGCUAACUACGUGCCAGCAGCCGCGGUAAUACGUAGGGAGCGAGCGUUGUCCGGAUUUAUUGGGUUUAAAGGGUGCGUAGGCUGUGAGGUAAGUCAGCGGUGAAAUGCCCCCGCUCAACGGGGGGAAGUGCCAUUGAUACUGCCUUGCUGGAAUGCGGAUGCCGUGGGAGGAAUGUGUGGUGUAGCGGUGAAAUGCAUAGAUAUCACACAGAACACCGAUUGCGAAGGCAUCUCACGAAUCCGCGAUUGACGCUGAUGCACGAAAGCGUGGGUAUCAAACAGGAUUAGAUACCCCGGUAGUC
rnacentral:rRNA from 1 species